UCGUGAAAAGGGAAACAACCCAGACCGCCAGCUAAGGUCCCAAAGUUGUGGUUAAGUGGUAAACGAUGUGGGAAGGCUUAGACAGCUAGGAGGUUGGCUUAGAAGCAGCCACCCUUUAAAGAAAGCGUAAUAGCUCACUAGUCGAGUCGGCCUGCGCGGAAGAUGUAACGGGGCUCAAACCACACACCGAAGCUGCGGGUGUCACGUAAGUGACGCGGUAGAGGAGCGUUCUGUAAGCCUGUGAAGGUGAGUUGAGAAGCUUGCUGGAGGUAUCAGAAGUGCGAAUGCUGACAUGAGUAACGACAAUGGGUGUGAAAA
rnacentral:rRNA from 1 species